rnacentral:rRNA from 1 species
UACAGAGGGUGCGAGCGUUAAUCGGAAUUACUGGGCGUAAAGCGCGCGUAGGCGGCUUUGCAAGUCGAGUGUGAAAUCCCCAGGCUUAACCUGGGAACUGCAUUCGAGACUGCAUGGCUAGAGUAUGGGAGAGGGAAGUGGAAUUUCAGGUGUAGCGGUGAAAUGCGUAGAGAUCGGGAAGAACAUCAGUGGCGAAGGCGGCCUGCUGGGCUGUUGCUGACGCUGAGGCGCGACAGCGUGGGGAGCAAACAGG